rnacentral:rRNA from 1 species
UACUACCGAAGCUACGGCAUCAAUAAUGAUGGGUAGGGGAGCUUCCCAUACGGGUUGAAGCAUGACCGUAAGGACAUGUGGACAGUAUGGGAGGGAGAAUGUUGGCAUGAGUAGCGAGAUGUGGGUGAGAAUCCCACAGGCCGUAAACCCAAGGUUUCCAGGGGAAGGUUCGUCCGCCCUGGGUUAGUCGGGACCUAAGCUGAGGCCGAAAGGCGUAGGUG